GGGUCCGUAGCUCAGUCGGUAGAGCAAAUCCCUCUUAAGGAUGCGGUCGUGGGUUCGAAUCCCACCGGGCCCA
rnacentral:tRNA from 1 species